UACAGAGGUCUCAAGCGUUGUUCGGAUUCAUUGGGCGUAAAGGGUGCGUAGGCGGCGCGGUAAGUCGGGUGUGAAAUCUCGGGGCUUAACUCCGAAACUGCAUUCGAUACUGCCGUGCUUGAGGACUGGAGAGGAGACUGGAAUUUACGGUGUAGCGGUGAAAUGCGUAGAUAUCGGGAGGAACACCAGUGGCGAAGGCGACUUUCUGGCCUGUUCUUGACGCUGAGGCGCGAAAGCUAGGGGAGCAAACGGG
rnacentral:rRNA from 1 species